AGAAAGAUAAGCUAAUUAAGCUAAUGGGUUCAUACCCCAUACAUAGAGGCAUAACCCUCUUCUUUCUA
rnacentral:tRNA from 1 species